rnacentral:rRNA from 1 species
GACGAACGCUGGCGGCGUGCUUAACACAUGCAAGUCGAACGGAAAGGCCCUGCUUUUGUGGGGUGCUCGAGUGGCGAACGGGUGAGUAACACGUGAGUAACCUGCCCUUGACUUUGGGAUAACUUCAGGAAACUGGGGCUAAUACCGGAUAGGAGCUCCUGCUGCAUGGUGGGGGUUGGAACGUUUCGGCGGUUGGGGAUGGACUCGCGGCUUAUCAGCUUGUUGGUGGGGUAGUGGCUUACCAAGGCUUUGACGGGUAGCCGGCCUGAGAGGGUGACCGGCCACAUUGGGACUGAGAUACGGCCCAGACGCCUACGGGAGGCAGCAGUGGGGAAUGUUGCACAAUGGGCGGAAGCCUGAUGCAGCAACGCCGCGUGCGGGAUGACGGCCUUCGGGUUGUAAACCGCUUUCGCCUGUGACGAAGCGUGAGUGACGGUAAUGGGUAAAGAAGCACCGGCUAACUACGUG